rnacentral:rRNA from 1 species
UAGCCGGCCUGAGAGGGCGACCGGCCACACUGGGACUGAGACACGGCCCAGACUCCUACGGGAGGCAGCAGUGGGGAAUAUUGCACAAUGGGCGAAAGCCUGAUGCAGCGACGCCGCGUGAGGGAUGACGGCCUUCGGGUUGUAAACCUCUUUCAGCUGGGAAGAAGCGAAAGUGACGGUACCGCAGAAGAGCCCGAGUCCC